UGCGAUCAUGAUCGCGGCAGUCUUACCAGUGCUUCGUGGUCCGCACUCAUGAUCGCGGUCAUAUAGCUUGGACAAGGCAUGGCGAUCAUGGUCGCGCCGAUCACGAACCGAGCUAGCAGCCUGUCACGUUGCGAUGAUUGAACUCUGACAACGACGGACAGGGAGCGAUAUCUGUCCCGUACAUGAACUGCGUAAUUAUGGUGGAGCCUCGGAUAUUGUGAUGCGCUCGACGGGAGGAGUGCUUAACGUGUGUGCCGUAAAUCGCAUGGGUGAACUUGUUGAAAAGAGGCACUUCUGCCAGAAGACAGCAGGUUAUUCCGAAUGCACUUAAAGAUGUGUGGAACAUCGAUGAUGCAGAAAAUUCGCCUGUCUGGAAUACUGGGAUGCUCAAAU